UAUCUUUGUAAAUAUAUGUUAAAGCUCCUUGACACUGUAUUUUAUUUGUUUUUUUUUGCAUAUUUUAACUCUUUGAUAUUUUGAAAAUUUACAAAUCAGUAUGAGAGAAACUCAAGAAAAUUAAACCCUUUCUUUGCCUCUUUCAAGAGGAACAUGUACUUGGCACCCUAGCUUUGGGAACUUGUGCCCUUUAGAGGUUGGUUCCAUGUAUCAGGAGCAAAUGAUUAAUCUUGCAUUAGAGGAAUUACAAAUAUGUUUUGUGCAGGAAACUAUCUCCUCCAUCUCAGAGAGGUCUCCCUGCCCUACCAGUGUCAUUCUAGCAAGCCAGAGUAUAAUGGUACCAAGAUGUUAAGGGUAGAUAUUCCUGAAAACCCAAUUUUCUAGACUGCUUUUCAUCCUUUUCAAUACUAUAUUUUAGUUUAAAUCUUCAAAUUCCAUUUGACUAAGAAACUGUAACCUGCCAUGUAAUGUUGCUUUUUACUUAGGUAUGCAUCAAAAGCAAUAAUUUCCGAAGCAGAUCUGAUUUUACAAGACCAACUUGAUAAAUAACUUUAUCUCUAUCAUAUUUGUUCAUAAGCAAAGUAUUACUUUGUCAGGGCUUAUCUCAUCUUCAGUGUCUGGGAUUGUGGGCAACAAAGCAGAUCGAGUCAAACCCCAAAAUUUUUGAGGUGACGUGUCUUUUUUGGUGGCUGUAAAUUUCUAUCCAAUAUGGCUUGCACAGAUCUUACACUGGGCGAUAGUCCAAGCAUACCCAGGAAACCAGCUGUGCUCUGUAGAAGGCUGGCCUAUCAGAUUCAAGUUGCAGGCUUUAUACACAUUCACAGCGAAGUCGUUGGAUGGCACUACCAAUUUUAAGGAGCUGAAUCCUUAAUAAAUCAUCAAUAGGAAGACAAGCAGCUACUCUGUAAGAAAAAUCUAUUGGAUUUGAAGGAAGAGACUCAUCUUUUAGAUUUUCGUCCCAUUCACGUAGCUGUUUCUUGAUUCUAUCCAUUAAAGUUUCAUCCUCAUAUAAGGAAUACAGCCAGCGAGGCCAUGAAGUCAAAUUUGCACAAUGAAACUUUCUCUUCUGGUGUUUCUGCCACCAUUUAUAUGAAUACUGGUCUUCCCAUGAGAUAGGCUUUGAAGGAAAUAUCUGGCAUUUAUUGAGGGAUUCUAACUGAACUGCAGACAUGGUUAAGGCAACACACAUUCAGGAAGAAUUUGCACUUUAGCUUGCUGGAUUCCAUCUGCCUGUGUUCUUAGUUCAAGGACUUUGAACCUUUGUCUUCCAACUGCUUUCACUCUCACUAUCUCAAUUCCGAAAUCUUGUUCUUCUCGAUAGGCAUAUAUCUUUGCAGUUGUUCCAAACUGUGCUUCCCUCUCCUGUAUAUUACUGUAUGCAAGAACUGCAAAGGUUCUGUCUUUCUGAAUUAAAUUCCGCACCAUACUGACUUCCUGAGGACGAAAGAGCUGAAUAGGUAAGGUCUGCCCAAAAAUCAGGAUCAUCACCUGUGGCAGGACUGGAAUAACCUGACGGCUGUUGUUGCCAUGCAAAGUCCUGCCAUGAAAUUCUUCCGUAUCAGCGCCCAGAUAUGUAUGUGAUGUUGGCAGACUGGUGUCAAAAUUUAUGACAUUUGGUUUUUUGGCUUCUUAGCUAUCCUGGUCUUCGACUUCCAUUUCAAUUUCAUCUUCUUCCUCACUCUCUGCAGGUAGGAGCAGCAGGUGGUUGCCCAUAUUGUGGACAGCAUCCUGCGGGUCUCUCUCGCCAGCCAUGUAUCACUAUAUUUUAUUUGAAUAACUGCUUAAAGCAUCGAUUUUUUUUACAAAAUGCAUGCUGAUAUUAUU
rnacentral:lncRNA from 1 species